CUAUUUCAUAAGUCUCAUUUAAGUAUCAGUCCUUUGAAAAUAUCAAGAAUCCUAACAUUGCUAUAUAUUUGCUAGUGUUGUGGGUGGAUGCUAUGCAGUUUCUUUUCAUGUUUAUUUUGUGUGAUUUCUUUGGUGUAGCAGGUGAAAAUGGUGCACCUGAUCACUUAGUACCAGCACAGCUCUUGAUUUAGGGACGACGCACACACUCAACUUUAAUACUUUAAUACUAGGACUAGUGAUGAGUGCGUUAAUUAAUUCCCCUCAUUAAUUAAGUGCAUAUUUAUGUCUUCACAGCUCCGACUGAACGGCGGAGACCCAGUCCACGAGCGUUUGAUGAGGGCUCAACCACGCCAGCCAAUCAGCUCUCGCUUUCUGCCAACAGACAUGGCUGCCUGGCCAAUCACAGCGGGGACGUGGCAGAGGUGGGCAGGGCCUGAGUGCUGGAGUGUCUGUGUUCUGGAGCAAAUGCUCAGAGAGAGAGAGAAAGGAGAGACAACGCUCCGUCUGUGUGUCUGAUUCUGCUGCGCGUCUCUCUCUCUCACUGCAGCUCUGUGUGUGUGUGUGUGUGUGUGUGUUCAUGUAUGCCGGCAACGGCUGCAUCGCUCCUUCAUCCCCUUCAUCUUCAUCAGUGAAUUCACAGCAUCAGCGCACGAUCCUGCUCAUCUGUUGCCGUGGUGAUGGGCUGUCGACUGUCAGGGCCGUGGAUGGGCGACGGGAUGGGGGUUCACGGUCAGGACCUGACCCACCUGCAGAAGCGAGAGGCCUUCCGUAUCCUGGCCAGCUACGAGCAGCCAAUCACGCUUCAGAUUGAGGGCCGGGGGCGGAGCCUGCAGUACAACAGGACGACGGACUGCAGCACGCAGACGGAGCGACCGUGGGACCCUCUCCGGCCACACUCGUGCACCCUACCGCGACUGCCUCCCUCGGACAGGGCGUACUACAAUCACAUGACCCUGCCCGGGACCCAUAGAGACGGAAGCAGGUACGAGUACCUACCAAACACGCCCAGAGACCUGGAGCACAGAGAACGCCAGGCCUACAAAGACCAUGAGUUCUCCAGCGGCGUGUCUCCGGCACAGAACUGUCUGAUCGGAUGCUGCAACACCAAUCUGGAGGAACCCAGAAGUUUCCAGAGUCAGGUGAGAGUCACAAAAUACAGCGUGAAUAUAUGACCGGGACUUAAAGGAACACGCCACUAUUUUUGAAAAUAGGCUCAUUUUCCGACUCCCCUAGAGUUAAACGGUUGAGUUUUACCGUUUUCGAAUCCGUUCAGCCGAUCUCCGGGUCUCUUUACAGAAGAGUCAAGUUCUAAAUAGGAAAAAUAUAGAAA
rnacentral:lncRNA from 1 species